CCUCCGUUGGUGAACCAGCGGAGGGAUCAUUACCGAGUUUACAACUCCCAAACCCAAUGUGAACGUUACCAAACUGUUGCCUCGGCGGGAUCUCUGCCCCGGGUGCGUCGCAGCCCCGGACCAAGGCGCCCGCCGGAGGACCAACCAAAACUCUUUAUGUAUACCCCCUCGCGGGUUUUUUUACAAUCUGAGCCAUCUCGGCGCCCCUCGUGGGCGUUUCGAAAAUGAAUCAAAGCUUUCAACAACGGAUCUCUUGGUUCUG
rnacentral:misc_RNA from 1 species